rnacentral:lncRNA from 1 species
AUCCUGAGUAUUAUCCAGUUCAUCCAAUCAUUCUAAUUAGUACUAUACUACCAUGGUGAUUAUUUCGUAUGUCGAUAAGAAACUUGCAACGCAGUCUGGUUGACGUUAGCUGACAACUUUUUUCAUGACGUCACAAAGGAGCCAAGUUCAGUGUUACUCAUUACUGAUGAUUGAUAAUUAUAGAUAAAUACUACAAUCCGAACGAGAAUAAAAAAGUUUUGAACCGCGUGGAAAUACAUUUAAUUCAUAAUUAUUUGGAUGGAUCUUUCGUAGGAAAGAUUUGUAUAUAUUCAUCCCACUCCACCCAUCAUUUCUGGAUCUCACCUCUCUGUAUCUCACUCGGCGUAUAUCAUCUCAUUUAAUGGAAGAAUCCUUCGUUGUGCAGAUGCACCUUCACAUCCAGUUCUGUGAUAGUGACUUGACCUCGUGAAUCAUUGCCUCUAUGUUCAAGAAUACAUAAAUUCCUUCAAAUCUUCAACAGGAUAAUUGUAUACUACUAUAAGAUCAACUAAUGAGUUCCAUAAAAUGACAGAAUAAUCGAUUGAAGGAUCUAGUGAGAAACAGGGAGAUUUAUCAUCCUCAAUCCACUCCUUAAUUGAAGUUCUUGAGUCCUUUUCUUCCUAUGUUAACUUUGCUUCGUCUUCUAUUAUUAGAAACCCAUUUCAUUGAUAAGUGUAUAUUGAUGCAUAUAACGCAAAAAUAUAUAGUCUAUAUGGAUAUAUCCUGGACACUUUAAGCCUCACCCCCUAGUUAGGGAUUUAAUUUCUUUUGAGUCCCUUUUGUGAUCGGAAAACAAGUGGAAGAUUAUUCUAGACUUUAAAGAUAAUGUGCAUCUCUUUUCUCGAUAGUUUUAUCUGCAAUGCAAAGCACUACUAUUGCACAUAAAUAGUUAUUGGAAACUACUAAAUAAAUACUAGCUAAAAGAUA